rnacentral:rRNA from 1 species
GUCGAACGGUGAAGAGAAGCUUGCUUCUUGGAUCAGUGGCGAACGGGUGAGUAACACGUGAGCAAUCUGCCCCUGACUCUGGGAUAACAGUUGGAAACAGCUGCUAAUACCGGAUACGAGACAUGGCCGCAUGGUCAAUGUUUGGAAAGAACUUCGGUCAGGGAUGAGCUCGCGGCCUAUCAGCUAGUUGGUGAGGUAAUGGCUCACCAAGGCGUCGACGGGUAGCCGGCCUGAGAGGGUGACCGGCCACACUGGGACUGAGACACGGCCCAGACUCCUACGGGAGGCAGCAGUGGGGAAUAUUGCACAAUGGGCGCAAGCCUGAUGCAGCAACGCCGCGUGAGGGACGACGGCCUUCGGGUUGUAAACCUCUUUUAGCAAGGAAGAAGCGAAAGUGACGGUACUUGCAGAAAAAGCGCCGGCUAACUACGUGCCAGCAGCCGCGGUAAUACGUAGGGCGCAAGCGUUAUCCGGAAUUAUUGGGCGUAAAGAGCUCGUAGGCGGUUUGUCGCGUCUGCUGUGAAAUCUGGGGGCUCAACCCCCAGCCUGCAGUGGGUACGGGCAGACUAGAGUGCGGUAGGGGAGAUUGGAAUUCCUGGUGUAGCGGUGGAAUGCGCAGAUAUCAGGAGGAACACCGAUGGCGAAGGCAGAUCUCUGGG